rnacentral:lncRNA from 1 species
UGCAGUUACGCUGUGACAUGAAAUGGACGUUCGAGGAGGAAGGUGGUCACACAACAGCCCCCCUGCCCCCCGCGCACAGGAAGGGACGUUUGGUGGCACCUGGCACGCACGGAGCUGAGGCAAAGGGGGCGAUGAGGGUGAGGGGCAGGUUUUGAUGGAGGGAAAUUUACCAGCUAGUCUGUAAGGGACGGAACCUUCUGGUGGGCCUGCCGCUGCGUCUGAGGAGAAAUUCCAUCGCCUGGAGGAGCACAGCCUGCCUCCCUGAGGGAUGCGGCGGGCACCGCUUUUCCCCCCCUUAGGAGGGAACAGCUUUGUUCCCAGCACUGUGGCUCCUUGUCAGGUGGAGACACAGCUAUUCUGGGCGCAAGGCUGGGAUUCAGACAGUGGAUGGUGCAUCUGGAUGCCAAGUGGCCAGAGGGCUGCAUGGUGCCCUUGGCUUUGCCCGAAGCUCCCCCCCCACCCCCGCCCUCUGCUCUGCAGAACCCCCCACCCCACCCCACCCCCGCCUCCCCUGCUGACCGCGUCGGGCUCUGCCCCCUGGACUGACAUGGAGAGGCCGGAGCCUGUGCCAGGGCAGGGGGCUGCUCUUUCCUGCUGGCUCCACGUCUGCCACGGGUCUCCGAGGGUGGCCGGACAGCAGGUCUUCAAUCCAGGAGCUUCAGUGUCUCCUAGAAGCAGUGGCUGGAUUGAGCUUGAAAUUCCUGCGACAUGUGCAAAGCUGGCUGGUGUCCCCACUCGGGGGUCUGGGCUCCCGGCUGACAGGACCCCUGCCCUGCAGUCAGGGCAGCACCCAGCAGGGGUCCUUGGCAGACCCUGACUCUCCAGGGCCUUGCGGGCUGAAUGUCCUCCCCCGACUCAUGCUGAAGUCUAAACCCCCUGGGGCCUCAGAAUGUGACUUUAUUUAGAAACACGGCCAGCCUGACGCGGUCUGGGCAGGGAGCCUCGGCACUUGCAGGAAAGUUCCACAGAUCUGUGUCCCCACAGCCUUGAUGGAACCGAGGCCGGGAGCCAUGCUAGACACCUUUGCAUUCUCAUCCUUGCUCUGACUUGUCACAGACGACCUCUUUUCACCCAGAGUCUGCUUCUUUCCUUCUGCAAAAGGAAAAUGAUUAGGUGCCAGCAUAUUCAGUGGAUGCUCAUUUGGUUGCACUUGAAAAUGUUCACUUACUGUAACGGGCUCGUUAUUGUGGGAAUGUAACUGGAACCUAGACUGCUACGACCUCAGGAAACAGGAACGACGCUGGGCACGAAGGUUCACUUUGCCCCACGGCAGCAGCCCCUCCCCCGGGGAAGGGGAAGGAAGCCCCCUCCCCUCCUGUCCCCCCUCCACCCCCACCACACACACCGGUGGUGGCUGGGUCUUUGGGAACCUGAGAGGCUUCCAAUCAAAGGCCCUUAACGGGUCCCCGGAGAAACUAAAACCUAUCAACUCAGACACACAGAAAUGCACUGUCUGCCCUGCAGCGUUCUCCCCAGUCCCCUAAAAUCUGGAGGAGUCAAGAACUGACCAGGACAGGGCCCUGGGCUGCUGUGUGUGGGACACCCGGCCUCAUGAAGCCUGCGUGGGCUUGUCCACAACCAGGCGGUAAGGCUGUAAGCAUCUCGAAAGCUGGCGUUCCCGUCGUGGCUCAGCAGUUAGUGAACCCGACGAGCAUCCAUGAGGAUGCAGGUUUGAUCCCUGGCCUCGCUCCGCGGGUUGGGGAAUGGAGCAUUGCCGUGAGCUGUGGUGUAGGUGGCAGAUGCGGCUCGGAUCCCACGUUGCUGUGGCUGUGGUGUAGGCCAGCCACCUGGGAUUGGACCCCUAGCCUGGGAACCUCCAUAUGCCGCAGGUGUGGCCCUACAAAGACAAAAAGACACCCCCUCAAAAAAAAAAAAAGAUAAAAAAAGGCUGUAAGCCUCUGGAAAGGUGAAGAAGAAGGGGGGGGGUCAGUGCUCCGUGGAGGGACUGGCUGAGGUGAGGGCUCUGACGCUCUUUUGCCCGAUGUCUGUUAUGCUUUUUAAAAAGCUGAAUAAAAUGCAGGUCGGUGUUCAUGCAGCGCUCAGCGUGGCAGGCAGGGGCUGGGUUUGAUCUUAAAGAUUUGGACUGGACUCUGUUCAACACACGGGCCUAAAAUAAUUAGAAAUGCAAUUAGAAAUGUUAGCCCUUUCAGCGGGAGCAAGGCUUAGACUCAUCUGAGACCUAAUUUUCAAGCCGCAGCAGAGCUGUGUUCCAGAAACCUCAUGGGGGUUUGGUUUCCCUCUUUGGAGGAACGUUUUAUGGCCCUGUGCGACUUUAGAAGCAGCCCAUCGCCAUGCGGGGCACACGCGGGCCUAUGAGCCAUGUUUGAAAUUUCUAACUUCAGCCUCUGAACAAAGAAACUAUUCUGCUGGAUAAUAAGACAUAUUUACUGGGAAGAAAAUGGCAGGCUUAUUGUAAGUUUUACAACAUGUAAAAACGCGAUGGGAUUUUUUUUAGAUCCAAAAUAAUUUAUAGCGCUUAAUGUUUCUCAGUUGGUGCAAAAACACAGAGCCAAGGCCAACACUCCAAUCAAAAAAGUGGGCAAAGGAUAAGAACAGACAGUAAUGGUACCUGAAGAUUCUGAAAUAUGAAAAAUAGGAAAAGACGGUCCCCGCAUUCAGCGUAAGAAAAAUGCAAAUUAAAAAACUCCAGCGAGAUGUCAUUUUCCAUCCAGUACCGGGGCAGAAGUCCGGAAGCUGUCGGUUCUGUCCAGGGGUGAGGCUGUGGGGAAACAGGCGGGGUACACACUGCCGGUGGGGUGGGGACGCCCACGGGCGCAGCGAUGCUCCAUUUGGCCGGAGCUUCCAGAAUUGUCAUGAAUCCCCUUCUGCAGCUUCAGCCUCCAGUGAGACUCGCACAUGUGCAAAAUGACGCGUCUACAGGACCUGGCACCGCAGCCGCGUCUAGCGUCUAUACCCACGGAGCACUGGCAGCAGCCCCGCUUCCACCCGAGGGAAUGUCAACUGAGCAGCUUGCAUCACUGUCGUAGCAGCUGUCGGGGGACACGCUCUUCCAGGUGAUAGGGGACACUGCCCAGUGUAUUUCGGCCAAAUAUUUCAUGAGCUUCGGAAUCAUCCCUCCAUCCCCUCGCUCAUCCUGGGCUCCGGCAGCUUUCGGGGGAGAGCGUGCCGACGCCUCGUGGCCACGGACUCUUUGCUUCUGUCUCUAAGUCUCUGUUGUGGCCCCAACAGGAAAGCAAAGAAGAGGCCCGCCCUCUCCACGGGUGCUCUCUCUGGCAAAUGCUGGUUUGGUGAACUAUUCCAGAAAGUCGCUGGGCCUUGCUCGCAAGCUUAGAGUGUCGUCACUUCCAAAAUUCAGCCAUGAGACUCGAACAAGUGAACUGACAGGACCUUGGCUCCACUGCUCUGAUUCUCCACGAGUUCACGCCACGAAAUGACCCUGACAUUACAUUUCCACGCUUGUUUUUUCAGUAAUCCCUACGCUCAUCCAUUCUAAUCCCAGGCCUGCUAAAAUAUCAGAAAUAAAAAUUCCCGGAUGCGAUAACCCAAAUAAAAUACUAAAACAGA